AGCAUAUCAAUAAGCGGAGGAAAAGAAACUAACCAGGAUUCCCCUAGUAACGGCGAGUGAAGCGGGAACAGCCCAAAUUUUAAAUCGAUCAAAAGGUCGAGUUGUAAUUUGAAGAAUUGCUUUCCACGUCUUUAUCCGAUGAAAAGUCCCUUGGAAUAGGGCAUCACAGAGGGUGAUAAUCCCGUAUUUUAUCGUGAUUUUGACGUCGUGUGUAGUAAUUUCAAAGAGUCGAGUUGUUUGGGAUUGCAGCUCAAAACGGGUGGUAAAUUCCAUCUAAGGCUAAAUAACGGCAAGAGACCGAUAGCGAACAAGUACCGUGAGGGAAAGAUGAAAAGAACUUUGAAAAGAGAGUUAAACAGUACGUGAAAUUGUUGAAAGGGAAACGAUUGAGGCCAGUCAUGCCUGCGAGAAAUCAAUCAUUUUAAUCUUGUUUUCGAAUUUGAUUAAUUGGUGCACUUUUUCGCGUGGCAGGUUAGCAUCAACUUUAAUUGUUGUAAAAUGGUGGUCGGAAUGUGACUCUUUUAGAGUGUUAUAGCCGAUUGCAGAUGCAACGAUUGGGGUUGAGGUUUGCGGCAAAUGCCUUUGGGCUACUUACCUUCCUUCUGAUCUGUUCACUUUAGAAUGACAGCUUGCUGACAUUUUGAAGGGCGUUCAAUCAAUAGGGUAGAGUAUUGAUAAAUUUGCCAAGGAUGCUGACGUAAUGACCUUAAACGAC
rnacentral:rRNA from 1 species